CACAAAGGUCCCAAAACAGAUAAAAAUUACGUGAGAGAGAGUUUGAUAGGGUGUUUUCGGAAUGAAGGUAGUGCAUUGGCUUCUAACGGUGGCUGUGGCCUGGUGGUUUCGACAAGGCGGAGCUGCCGCCAUGUGCGAACACCAGUGUGGGCACGUGACCGUACCUUAUCCAUUCGGGCUCCAAACCGGGUGUGUGAGGUCCCCAGAUUUUUUGCUCAAUUGCACCAACACUGAAGGGAGCGGUCUUCAACUCAUGUUGGGGAAUCUUACCAUACGCAAAAUCUCGCCCCGGGGCUCGACCAUGGUCGUCAGCCUCCCCGAAGCAUACAAGUGCUACAAUCAGAAUGGCACGCUAGCAAACGAAAGCAAUUCUGUGGUCAUCGAUCUGUCUCCACAUCCUCGGUACAGAUUCUCGGAAACCCUGAACAAACUCACCGUCCUCGGCUGCGACACCAUGGCGGUCGUGGCCAACAGUGGAGGGACGUUGGGGGGCGGGUGCAUCUCCUACUGCGGGAACAACGUAGCCAACGAGACCACUUGCUCCGGUCGAGGUUGCUGUCAAGCAUCCAUCCCAAAGGAGUUCAAGACGCUCAACAUUAGCAUCUCCUCCCUCAACCAAAACGCGUCGGCCUCGCAACUCGGCUACUGUGCACGGGCCUUCGUGGUGGACAACAGGUCAUUCGAUAUUUCAAACUUGACUCGUCCGAGGUUUGAGGAUGUGGGCAACACCCCGGGCCUUGUUCUAGACUGGAUGGUCGAAUCGGACGUAAGAUGCAACACGGCCGAGCGGAACAGGUCGAGCUAUGCCUGUGGUCCCUACGCGGCAUGUAAGGACUUUGAGGAUGAAUUGGGUUAUCGCUGCGCUUGCAACGAUGGGUACGAGGGGAAUCCCUAUAAGGGAUGUACAGACAUCGAUGAGUGCAAGUACCCAAAAAAAUAACUAUGUAAAGGGAAGUGCAAGAAUACGGAUGGGAGCUACAAAUGCGAUUGCCCAAUAGGAAAGAAGAAGAGCAAGAAUAAAGGCCAUUGCCAAAUUAAUCGUGGCGGCAUAGCUGGUGGAGCAAUUGCCGUGUCUGUCUUCGGCAUGACUGUUACUGCUUCUGUCUCGGUCACGAUGAGGUUGAGACUCAGAAAGAUCAACUUCAUACGAAAUGGAGGAGAGCUCAUGAAACAGCGCAAAGUUCAAAUCUUCACGGAGGCAGAGCUGGCAAAAGCAACCAACAACUAUAAUGACAGUAAUAAGCUCAACGAUGACCAUUCCAGUUCUGUUUAUGGAGGGAUAAUAGCAAGGGACACCGUGGUCGUGGUCAAGAAGCCUAAAGAUGAGCACAAGUCUAUAAUAAGGCAGGAUUUCCAAGAUGAACUUGAAUUUCUGAUGGGAAGAAGCCACAAAAAUAUGGUGAAGCUCAAAGGCAUAUGUUUGGAGACUGAAAUACCAUUGCUGGUAUAUGAAUACAUUCCGAAUGGCACCCUUUUCCAACACAUCCAUCAGAAUACGUCGACCAUCUUAAAAUCGUGGGAAGACCGCUUUAGAAUAGCUACCCAAGCUGCUCAUGCACUUGAUUAUAUGCACUCCAGUGCAAAACCCCCAAUCGUUCAUGGUAACAUCAAGUCAAUGAACAUACUUUUGGAUAAAAAAAACUCGGUGAAAAUAUCCGAUUUUGGAACUUCGGUACUCAUAUCACCAGAGCAUAGACAUAUCAUAGCCACUCAGAAAAAAGACUUGUUGGGCUACAUUGAUCCGGAAUAUUUAGUCACCGGUAUGCUAACAACUCAGAGCGAUGUAUACAGCUUUGGAGUUGUCCUUGUGGAGUUGCUCACAAGAAAGAAACUUUAUGUCACCGAGUCUGGAGAGUCGAUCAAUACUAUCCAUCAUUUCAUCUCUUCCGUGGAGGGCGACACACUCUCCAAUGUCAUAAACUUUGAGGGUGCUAGUGAAGGUGAAAUGGAGAAAAUACGAACCGUCGCUAAGAUUGCAGUGAGGUGCUUGGACCAAAGCGGUGCGAACAGGCCGGCAAUGAGCGAUGUGGCUCAGCAACUCGCCAAUGUCAACCCGAGCUCGACAAUUGAAGAAGAGAAUGACGAGACCGAACGGGAAGUGGAUGCAGAAGAACUCUCAAGCUGUCUUUCUUGUCUGGGAAUGGAUUCAGCUUCUUCCUGCAUCUGAUCCAUUAUUACCAUAGCGACAUGUCUGUCAAUUUGCCCGUAAGGACUUCUAGGGUUGAUCGUGUGCUUUGAAUAUAUGUUAUGUGUGCCAUUUGCUUUUGGACUUUAUAUUUGUGGAAGCAUCUUUGCAAGUUCAAGCGUGAGAAUUUAAUAUAAUAUAUGUAAAGCCGUGUGUUGAAGUGGACUUAUAGGAGGCUGACAU